rnacentral:rRNA from 1 species
UGGGGAAUAUUGCACAAUGGGCGCAAGCCUGAUGCAGCCAUGCCGCGUGUAAGAAGGCCUUCGGGUUGUAAAGUACUUUCAGCGAGGAGGAAGGCGUUGUGGUUAAUAACCGCAACGAUUGACGUUACUCGCAGAAGAAGCACCGGCUAACUCCGUGCCAGCAGCCGCGGUAAUACGGAGGGUGCAAGCGUUAAUCGGAAUUACUGGGCGUAAAGCGCACGCAGGCGGUCUGUCAAGUCGGAUGUGAAAUCCCCGGGCUCAACCUGGGAACUGCAUCCGAAACUGGCAGGCUAGAGUCUUGUAGAGGGGGGUAGAAUUCCAGGUGUAGCGGUGAAAUGCGUAGAGAUCUGGAGGAAUACCGGUGGCGAAGGCGGCCCCCUGGACAAAGACUGACGCUCAGGUGCGAAAGCGUGGGGAGCAAACA